rnacentral:lncRNA from 1 species
CUUUAGUUUACUUAUCUAUAAAAUGGGGAUAAUAAUAGCACCUGUCCCCAGGGUUGUUAAGAUGAUCAAAUGAGUUGUUUGUUAAAUGCUUUGCAAAUCUUAAAACUCUAUAUAAAUGGUAGCUGUUACUAUUAUAUGCUACUCUUACCAUUAUCUUAACUAUAUGUAGGCCUUCUCUUUCCCUAGGUACCAGAAUCACUCUCUGAAGGCUAUGAUGGGGAUCUAGCCUGGGCUCCAUGGGGAAAUGUCUGAUGUGGAAGCUUCCAUAACAACAUGUUGAUACUUCAAAAAAAUUCCACAUUUUUUCAUCUAGAUUGUUUAACUCUGAGAAGACCAAAGAAAAACCUGGUCUUUAGUUUGGACUACGAGUCUGGUAAGUCUGUUCUUGUUGAGACUCAACAAGCUAGCCUUUGCUAUUUUAUAAUUUGAAGGCAAAGUUAAGAUUUAUAAGGAUAAUAGUAGUAUUUUUUAUUUUAGAUAGUAUAUAUUUGGGUUAGUCACAUCAGGGAAGAUUAGUGUAGCCUGUGAAACACAGAAGAAAUGGUACCAUGUGUAAACCUCAAAAUUUCCUUAGACUUAUAAAUGUUGGAAAUUUCACCAUUGGGAUAUUUCAUACUUGAAAAAUUUCUUACUGAUAGUCUAUUGGAAUGGGAACUCCAUUGGCAUGGGAGGUUCCUUCUCUUCCCUUCUUAAGAUUACUUUAGGACAGAAACCCUUUGCUGAACAAUGGAAAGGACUUUGACCUAUGCUUAAGCAUAGAACAGGAAUUUCUUUGAGUCUUGAUUGAUUUUAGAAUUGAUACAAUGGAGAUACUCCACCCUAUUCAGUCCUAAUAGGAUUGAGUAAGGGCUGCAGCCUAGAUCAAAAUUUAAUUAUUCCAAUCUCUACCAUACUCAAGUUAACAGGAUUUAGAAAGGGCUGUAACAAAGGAGUAUAGAUUUAAUCAUUUGAAAAUAUGACCUUCAACAGACAUGUGCAAAAAGCCAGAAACCUCUGGGCGGUCCUGGGUUAAGCGAGAGCCUCCAUUGACAGGGAAAUUGAUGAAGAGUGAUUGGUAGAUGUGAGGACUGAGGGGAGGCAACCUGGAUGGUGUCCUUAAAGAUAGGAGGGUCUGGAGACUCGAGAGGGAGGGUUGAGUUUUUGGUCGGUGGUUCCUGGGCUCUGAGGAAGCUUGCUCUGAAGGAAGCUGAAGGUGGGGGCCUCUGAGACUGUUUCUCCAUUUUGGACACGUGAGUAAUAGGGACUGAUCUCUUUUCUUUGCCCCAGCUAUCUAAGGGCUUGGGCCUUUUGGCCCAGCCUAAACAGAAGGGGUAUUUAAGCCCUAUUCCCUUCUCUCCCCUUUCUCUCUCUCUCUAUAUCUCUAAUUCCUUUCUUACUCCUAUUGUAAUUAAACUCCAAAAAAAGCUGACGGCUGACUUGAGUUUUUCAUUUAGGAAUUACAUAGCUGAUUCCUUGGCGACCUUAAAUUAAUAUAUAUCAGUCUUUUAAAGUGAUUCCCUUGUAACACAUGUGGAACCAGGAACUUGGGUGGAUUUAGAAUCCCUUAGAAUUAGAAAUCCUUCUUUAUCCUUAUAUAUUUCAAUAAAUAUUUUAUUUUUAUUAGUCUCUUUAGCA